UACGUAGGGCGCAAGCGUUGUCCGGAAUUAUUGGGCGUAAAGAGCUCGUAGGCGGCUUGUCACGUCGGGUGUGAAAGCCCGGGGCUUAACCCCGGGUCUGCAUUCGAUACGGGCAGGCUAGAGUGUGGUAGGGGAGAUCGGAAUUCCUGGUGUAGCGGUGAAAUGCGCAGAUAUCAGGAGGAACACCGGUGGCGAAGGCGGAUCUCUGGGCCAUUAAUGACGCUGAGGAGCGAAAGCGUGGGAAGCGAACAGG
rnacentral:rRNA from 1 species